UGGGGAAUCUUGCGCAAUGGGCGAAAGCCUGACGCAGCGACGCCGCGUGAGCGAUGAAGGCCUUCGGGUUGUAAAGCUCUGUGGGGAGAGAAGAAUAAGGAUACGCUAACACCGUACUCGAUGACGGUAUCUCCUUAGCAAGCACCGGCUAACUCUGUGCCAGCAGCCGCGGUAAGACAGAGGGUGCAAACGUUGUUCGGAAUUACUGGGCGUAAAGCGCGUGUAGGCGGCCAAGUAUGUCGGAUGUGAAAUCCCGCGGCUCAACCGUGGAAGUGCAUUCGAAACUGCUUGGCUGGAGUUUCGGAGAGGAAGGCGGAAUGCUUGGUGUAGAGGUGAAAUUCGUAGAUAUCAAGCAGAACACCUGUGGCGAAGGCGGCCUUCUGGACGAUGACUGACGCUGAGACGCGAAAGCGUGGGGAGCAAACAGG
rnacentral:rRNA from 1 species